rnacentral:rRNA from 1 species
UACGGAGGGUGCAAACGUUGCUCGGAAUCAUUGGGCGUAAAGCGCACGUAGGCGGUCUUUUAAGUCGGGUGUGAAAUCCCUCAGCUUAACUGAGGAAGUGCAUUCGAAACUGGAGGACUUGAAUACUCAAGAGGGUCUCGGAAUUCCCGGUGUAGAGGUGAAAUUCGUAGAUAUCGGGAGAAACACCAGUGGCGAAAGCGGCUCACUGGACCACAACUGACGCUGAGGCGCGAAAGCUAGGGGAGCAAACAGG